AAUCGCAACGAUCUCCAGUGAAACAACGCUCAAGAUGAUGAAAAUGUUCGCACUUUUGUUUGUCGCUGUUGCGAUGGUUCUGGUGGCAGAGGCCCAUCCUCAGUAUUCCUGUGGCUCGUACGGAGGCUACCGGUAUCCGUAUUAUCCUACUUAUUCAACUUAUCCGACUUAUCCGACUUAUCCAACUGUCCCAACUGUGCCAACAACCGCUCCGAUCCUGCAGGCGAUCAUCCAGGCUCUUGCUGGUUGAUCUGGUUUAAAGAAUUGUGUUGAAGCUGCACUUGUUUUGAACUUGUUAAACACUAAUAAAAAAUAAUAUUCAAAAUUUAA